rnacentral:lncRNA from 1 species
UCUCUCCCUCCCUCUGGCCUCCAAGCACCCGAGGUGGCCAGCACCUGUACUCUGGAGCCAGCCUAGGGUCGGGCCCUGUGCUCAGGAUCUGUGGCUUCCAGGAGUCCUAUUUGCCCUAGAGUAGGGCCGGGGGAGGGGGAUGAUAGAAUGCCAGUGUUGGAUGACCCUACAGCAUAGAUGUGGUAUACCAUUGCUUGACUGUCCCCUGGCAGCUCCCACUGCCAGGUAUGUCUCUGCAGAUGCCUAGUCUCUGCUGUUUGGCUAAGAGGCUGGCCUGCAUGUGCAAAGAUCUGCCGCGUGAAGGGUGGGGCAGCACAGUCCUGAGUGUAGUGAGGCCAUGCCCUGGUGGCCACGGCAGCCUCUUCCAUGUCCUGAUCUUACCGCUGUGCUUACCCUUCACUCUAGCAUUGUCCUGAGGCUGGGCAGCAGCUGAGGGAUGUGCUAACUUGGCUGAGGUGGUAAAUGACUGGCUCUGGCAAGGAGGCCCCAUGAAUAACAGGUUAGUCUCAGGGGCUUGGACAGUUCCCAUCCUGCACAGUUGCCCUUCCUGAGAUAAGG